AUGUUGCUAGUGUCGUUGAAGCCGCCACCACGCAGGUCCUCCGCGGCCUCCUCAUCGUGCCGCCGCAGCCACCGCGGCCUCCUCGCCGCGCCCCGCACCUCCAUAGACCGACACACGGCCCGGAGCAUCGCGCAGCCGCCGACGAACUCCGCCACCGCCGGCACGCCUCCGGCAAGGAGAACGACACCCAAGAUGAAACAACUCAUGAUACCAAUGGUGCACAUGCUCUGGUGA
rnacentral:rRNA from 1 species